GGGUUGGCAAGCCAGAGUGGAGGAGUUGUUCAUUGCAACUGGGGAAGAAAGGGAAAACUCAGAAGAGUUCCUGUAUCUGUCGAAGCUCAUCACUCUUCCACUUGAAAGAACAAGGAGUUUUGAAUAAAUGGAAAGGGAUUACCAUGGUAA